AGCAGCCGCGGUAAUUCCAGCUCCAAUAGCGUAUAUUAAAGUUGUUGCAGUUAAAAAGCUCGUAGUUGAAUUUCGGGGUCAGUAAGUUGGUCGUGCCACUGGUAUGUACUGGCUUUACUGAUUCCUCCCUCUUGUAGAACCGUAAUGCCAUUAAUUUGGUGUUGCGGGGAAACAGGACUGUUACUUUGAAAAAAUUAGAGUGUUUAAAGCAGGCUAACGCUUGAAUACAUUAGCAUGGAAUAAUGAAAUAGGACGUUCGAUCUUAUUUUGUUGGUUUCUAAGAUUGACGUAAUGAUUAAUAGGGAUAGUUGGGGGCAUUAGUAUUCAAUUGUCAGAGGUGAAAUUCUUGGAUUUAUUGAAGACUAACUACUGCGAAAGCAUUUGCCAAGGAUGUUUUCAUUAAUCAAGAACGAAAGUUAGGGGAUCGAAGACGAUCAGAUACCGUCGUAGUCUUAACCAUAAACUAUGCCGACUAGGGAUCGGAUGAUGUUAAUUUUAUAAUGACUCAUUCGGCGCCUUACG
rnacentral:rRNA from 1 species